rnacentral:lncRNA from 1 species
AUGAGUGCCUGUGUGGAGCAGCUUAGGGAGCGAGGUGCUAAGACAACCCAGGGCCGCGGUAGGGAGGAAGGGAACUGCCCUGGAGCUAUGAGCCGGGCGACUGGCCGUGGGACCUUGCCCAGGCUGCGCCGGGGCGAGCAGGCGGCUAAGAUGCCGGGUCGCUGCGUGGGGCCCUGCAGGUCGGGGCGGGGAGUUCGGCGGCCGUGGGGGAAGAGACGGGGCGCAGGGACGUCCCGAGGCCGUGGAGCAAGGCGCCGGGCAAGGUCCUUGGAGUGGGAGACGCGCUGUGUGAGUGCAGAAAGGCCGCAGGGCUGUCAGCGGCCGUGGGGGACAAGACAAGCGGCGGACACAGCCGACGCCGCCGGGGCGAAUGAGGAUUUGGGAGCUCCUGGGCCCCCAGGCUCCAUCGAGGCUGCAAGGGACCCUGGGGCUGUGUGGGUGAAUGGGGUUGUUGGGGAGCCCGAGGUGGUGGGGCCUGCCGGGGCUGUGUGGGUGACCGGGUCUGGGGAGGAGGAGGCCGAAGAUAGGAGUCCCCGGGGCUGCGAGGGAAAAGGUCGCCCAGGAUCUCUGGGCCAUGAGAGCAUUCUGCACCUGUGGCUCAAGGUGCAGGCUAUGAGGGCCGCCUCGGGAUGUGGGGAGGGAAGUAGAGUCGAGCUCCAUCCCGUGCCUGUAGGAGAGGGGCCUGUCGAAAGGGGUGUUCCUGGCCGAGCUUCCUGGGUAGAGACAAGCCGUGGUGGUCUUACAGGGCCCUGGGUGAAGAGCCAGGCAAGGGGGAUCCCUCGGGCCCCCUCAGGGCCUACAGUUCUGGGCUUAGGGGCCGCUUACGAGAGAACCUUAGGCUUCUGUGGACAGGGACAGGCUGGGAGGGUGCCUCCUCCUGUGAGUGUGCCUGGGGCUCUGGCGUCAGGUUCUGAGAUGGCCCCGCACCUGUGGAGGGGACAAGCUGUGGGGGUUCCUGGGACUGGGGAGGAGAUAGGCUAUGGGCUUGUCCCAGGCCCUUGUGAAAAAGAACAGGCUGUGGGCGAGCCUGGGACCGUGGGGUGGCCUGGGGCUGUGGGAGCGCCCAGAGCCGUGGAGGGAGAGCUGGGCUGCGGGGGUGGUGCAGGGCUGUGGGGGAGAGGACAUUCCCCGCAGAUUCCUGGGGCUGUGGCACAUGAAGCAGUCUGUGGGGCCACCCCUGGCGUAUGGGGGAGGGGACAGGCCGUGGGGGUGUCCGAUGCUGUGGAGGAGGAGCCUACUUCUGUGGGUGCCGCAGGUGUGUGUUACAGGAGACAGGCUGUGGAGGAGACAGACUCUGUGGGUAUGCCCGGCCCGUGGGGCACGGGACACUCUGUUGGGGUGCCCUGUGCUACUGAAGAGGAAACUAGAUGUGGCUGUGACCCAGGGUUCAGGGAAAGGGGACAGCCUGUGUGGGUGGAGACAGGCUCUGGGGGUGAUCCAAGGUCACGGGGAGCUGCACAGACUGCAGAGCCAUCAUGUCCUGGGGAGCAGGCAGCAGGUUCUGGGGGUGCCCCAGGCCUGUGGGGGAUAGAACAGGCUACAGGGGUACCCAGGGCCUUGGGGAAGGACACGGGCUGUGUGAGUGUCCCAGGGCUGUGGGGAGCGGGACAGGUGGUAGGGCUGCCCCAGGCUGUGGUAGUACCUGGAGCCCUGGGAGAAGAGCUGAGCCACAGCGGGGCCCUGGGCCUGUGGGACGGACAGCAAGUUCUUGCGGGGCCCCCAGCCGAGGCAGUGCCUGGGCUUGGAGAGGAGACCUGUGGUGGGAAUGUCCUGAGCCUGUGGGAAAGGAGGCAGGCUGUGGGGGAGCCAGAGAGUCUGGGGCCUCCAGCUUUAGGGGUCCCUGGGUCUGUGGAUCAGGAGGCUGGCUGCGGAGAUGUUUCAUGUCUGUGUGGGAGGAGGCAGGCUGUGCGGGUGUCUGAGAGGGUGGGCAUACCCAGGGCAGCAGAUGUGCCCCAGCACAGGUGUGCCACAGCAGGGGUCCCCAUGGCGAUGGGCGUGCCCGGCUCUGGAAAGGUGCCUGCCAGAGUGCCUGCUGCUGUGUGGGCGUCUGGCCCUGUGUGUGGAGAAGGCAGCUCUAGAGACAUUUUGAAGCUGUGGGAAAGGGCUGGGGCUGCCAGAAUAUCUCUGGCUUCAGGGGGACUUGUGGCUCCGGAGGAGCUGUGGUCUGGCGGGGAGCAUUGUGAUUCUGGGGCCUUCCCGGGCCCAUGGGGAAGGAGACAGACUAUUGGGGUUUCUGUGGCACCUGGGGGGCCUGGGCUUGAGGAGGAGACUGACUCUGGGGGUAUCCCAAGACCUUGGGGACAGAGACAGAGGGUAAGGACUCCUGUGGCCACCGAAGUGCUUCUGGCCCCCAGGGCGCCUGGUUCUGUGGAACUGGAGCCUGGCUCUGGGAGCUUCUCAGGCUUGUCGGGGAGGCAGCAAACUGCAGGAAUGGCUGGCACUGUGGGGCUGUCUGCAGCUAGUGGGGUGCCCGUGGCUCUCAGGGUGCCUAGGCCUGUGCAAGAGGAAACUGGCUCAGAAUUGUGGGGCGAAGGAGAGACAGUGGGUGGACCUGCAGAUGCCAAGGGUCCCACAAGGAUGGAAGUGCCCACCUCGACCAGGAUGCCUGGGCCCAUGGGGGAGAAGACUGGCUCUGGGGGUGUCUCAGGCUUGUUGGGAGGCAGACAGACUACAGGAGUAUCCAUGGCUGUGGGGCUUCCGGGGUCUGUGGGGGAGGGGACCCUCUUUGAGCGUGUCUCUGGCCUGUCUGGAAGAAGGCAGACUGCUGGGAGGCCUGUGGCUGCUAGAGAUUCCAUGGCCGUGGGGGUGCCCACAGCUCCCGGGCUCCCUGGACCGAUGGUAGGGGAUACCGGCUCUGGGGAUGACUGCUCAGGCAUAUGGGCAAGGAGACUGGCCACUGAGGGACCCACAGCUGCCAGGGUUCCUGGACCUGUGGAAGGGGAGACAGGCUCUGAAGGUGUCUCAAGCCUGUGGAGAAGGAGACGCAGUGGAGCCAUUCCCGAGGCCGGGAGGGUGCCUAUGCCUCUGGGGGUGCUUGCAGCUGUAGGAGCUCCCAUGGCAGGGCGCACACCUGCUGCGGUGUGGGUGACUGGGUCCUCGGGAGCAGAAGCGGAUGUGGGUGUCUCAGGUGUGACCGUGCUGAGGAGACAGUCCACAGGGGGAGUGGGGGCUUCAGAGGGUGAGACAGGUGGUGGGAAUAUUCUGGGACUGGCCGGGAGCAGCCAGGCUGUGGGGGCAUCUCACACCUGUGUGCCCGGGACCAGGUUAUGGAGUUGUCCAAGGUCUGUGGGGGAAGAGACGGCCUUUGAGAAUGCUCUAGACAUGUCAGGGACAAGAACAGCUGUGGGGGUACCCCCAGUUUCAAGAGAGGAAAUAGGCCUUGGCCAUUUCAGAGACCACCUACAGCCAAGUGGGAGGAGGCUGGCUGGAGAAGUGUCUUCAGUCAGAGUGAGAGGGAGCAAUUUGGGAGAGAGUUAUGUGGGGGAGGCUAGAUUGAGGGGGGCGUUCCAGUAG